UACAGAGGGUGCAAGCGUUAAUCGGAAUUACUGGGCGUAAAGCGUGCGUAGACGGUUAUGUAAGUCAGAUGUGAAAGCCCCGGGCUCAACCUGGGAAUUGCAUUUGAGACUGCAUAGCUAGGGUGCGGAAGAGGGAAGCGGAAUUUCCGGUGUAGCGGUGAAAUGCGUAGAUAUCAGGAGGAACACCUGUGGCGAAAGCGGCUCACUGGACCAUAACUGACGCUGAUGCACGAAAGCUAGGGGAGCAAACAGG
rnacentral:rRNA from 1 species